rnacentral:rRNA from 1 species
CAGUCGCCACGGUAACACGAAGGGGGCUAGCGUUGUUCGGAUUUACUGGGCGUAAAGCGCACGUAGGCGGAUCGAUCAGUCAGGGGUGAAAUCCCAGAGCUCAACUCUGGAACUGCCUUUGAUACUGUCGAUCUGGAGUAUGGAAGAGGUGAGUGGAAUUCCGAGUGUAGAGGUGAAAUUCGUAGAUAUUCGGAGGAACACCAGUGGCGAAGGCGGCUCACUGGUCCAUUACUGACGCUGAGGUGCGAAAGCGUGGGGAGCAAACAGGAUUAGAUACCCCAGUAGUCCCUGUCUCUUAUAA